rfam:Clostridium autoethanogenum DSM 10061, complete genome.
GGAUCUUUAGCUCAGUUGGUUAGAGCAACCGGCUCAUAACCGGUGGGUCCGGGGUUCGAGUCCCUGAAGGUCCA